CCCGGCACAAGCGGUGGAGCAUGUGGUUAAUUCGACGCAACGCGAAGAACCUUACCAGGCUUGACAUCCCCUGACCGCGUAUGAAAGUACGUUUUCACCCUCGGGUGACAGGGAGACAGGUGGUGCAUGGUUGUCGUCAGCUCGUGUCGUGAGAUGUUGGGUGAAGUCCCGCAACGAGCGCAACCCCUACGUUUAGUUGCUAACAGGUGAAGCUGAGCACUCUAGACGAACUGCCGUUGACAAAACGGAGGAAGGUGGGGAUGACGUCAAAUCAUCAUGCCCCUUAUGUUCUGGGCUACACACGUGCUACAAUGGCCGGUACAGACGGAGGCGAAGCCGCGAGGCGGAGCAAAUCCGAAAAAGCCGGUCUCAGUUCGGAUUGCAGGCUGCAAUUCGCCUGCAUGAAGUCGGAAUCGCUAGUAAUCGCAGGUCAGCAUACUGCGGUGAAUACGUUCCCGGGCCUU
rnacentral:rRNA from 1 species